CCUAAAUUUUUGAGGUAUUACGUGUAGUGCCACGAGGCAUAAUCGUAAACAUUAAGAACGAGAAAAUCAGAUUAGGAUUGGAUAAUAAGGACUUAGACCGAAGAGGGUCUAUUGGAAUUAUCAUAAAAUAAUAAUUUUAACUGGAAAAUAAAUAUGCGAUGAAUUGGAUUUGAACGGAAUUAGAAAGAAAGGAAGUAGAAUAAAAAUAAAAUACGUUGGAAAGCCCGAACUAAUAAUAUUCACGCUAAGGUCCGUGAAAUAUUAUUAAUAAACGAUCGUCAAGUUUCGUAAGUAUAUGAAAGCGUCUUAGAAGAUAGUUUGACGAUUAGUUAAGAAUAAGGGUUAAAGUGCAAAUUAGCCACUUUAAGGACUAAAGUGGACUUUUAACCACAAACUUCCGGAAGAAGUUGUGUUUUACUCUAUUUUCUCAAUAUAAGAAAAUAAUAUCGAUAAAGUUAUUAUCGAUAGUCAUUAAAAUGAAAAGUUGGACGGAAAAAGUGAGAAAAAAGUGCAAGUUAGCUCAAAAUGGAAAUUUGAGCGUUUUUGGCCAAAAUUGCCAAAAAAUAAAAUUAUUGGAAAAUAAAAUUAUAAGAUAUGAGAUUAAUAUUAUUUAUUUUAAAAUAAAUAAUAUGGAGUUAGUUGGACCUAAAAGAUUUAGUGUUCGACGGACUAAAUUGGACGAAAGAAAAGUUAUGGAUUAAGAAAUGAGGAGGUGGCAACUUUAAAGGCUUAAGUAAACUUUAGCCAACAACUUAUAGGCUAAGUCAAGGAAUUAAUAUCCCAUGUUCAGCUCAUUCUCUCAAAAUUAAAAAGAAAUAGAAAGAAAGAAAGAAAAAGAUGGAGAAGAUGAGAGAAAGGGGAAAAUGGAGCAUUCAACUUCAAAUCGAGCUACGGAGCUCGUUUCUCGACCAAAUUUGAUGAUUUCGGUGGCUAUGGAUUCGGGAUUCAAGCCUUUACUCAAGGAAUAGUAUGAUAUGAUUUGGAGAGUCAAGCUUCCGAAGUUUUAAAUUCUCGGAAGUCAUUUGCACAAGAAGUUAAAGAAGGUUUUCAUUCUAGCGGUCCGCAGUAGUCUAGAUGUCUUUGUCUAUGUAUUUAUAUAGCGCAUUUUAACUCUGAUAUUUUUGUAAAAUGGGGUCACAUGUAUUUUGAUAUAUGAAAAUAAUUUGAUUUGCGAAAAAUUUACACA